CCAGUGGUGCUUUUGAAAAUACAUAUUUUGACGAUCCAUCCAGAUUUACUGAAUUUGAAUCAGUGGACAUGGAGCCCAGGACUCUGCAUUUUUGAC
rnacentral:miRNA from 1 species